rnacentral:rRNA from 1 species
ACAAUGAAGAGUUUGAUCCUGGCUCAGGAUGAACGCUAGCGGCAGGCUUAACACAUGCAAGUCGAGGGGCAUCGGGUCAGUAGCAAUACUGACGCCGGCGACCGGCGCAAGGGUGCGUAACGCGUGAGCAACAUGCCCGUCUCAGGAGAAUAACCCGGAGAAAUCCGGCCUAAUGCUCCAUGGUUCCCCGGAGUGGCAUCGCCUCGGGGAUAAAGAUACGUCGGAGACGGAUUGGCUCGCGUGACAUUAGCUGGACGGCGGGGUAACGGCCCACCGUGGCUACGAUGUCUAGGGGAACUGAGAGGUUGGUCCCCCACACUGGAACUGAGACACGGUCCAGACUCCUACGGGAGGCAGCAGUGAGGAAUAUUGGACAAUGGGCGGAAGCCUGAUCCAGCCAUGCCGCGUGAAGGAUUACGGUCCUAUGGAUUUUAAACUUCUUUUGCACGGGAGCAAUAAGGGUCACGCGUGGCCCGAUGAGAGUACCGUGCGAAUAAGCAUCGGCUAACUCCGUGCCAGC